rnacentral:ncRNA from 23 species
CCAUCCCAUUCUGAACAGGCCGUGGCAAUACCAUGGAGCCGGGCCGGCCCAGCCGGCAGCGGAGCGUUUGCACGUUGGCGCGCCCGCGGGACAGAA